rnacentral:rRNA from 1 species
UACGUAGGGGGCAAGCGUUGUCCGGAAUCAUUGGGCGUAAAGCGCGUGUAGGCGGCCCGGUAAGUCCGCUGUGAAAGUCCAGGGCUCAACCCUGGAAUGCCGGUGGAUACUGUCGGGCUCGAGUCCGGAAGAGGCGAGUGGAAUUCCUGGUGUAGCGGUGAAAUGCGCAGAUAUCAGGAAGAACACCAAUGGCGAAAGCAGCUCUCUGGGACGGUACUGACGCUGAGACGCGAAAGCGUGGGGAGCGAACAGG